UACUGCCCCGUACUGAGAUUGAGCUCAGGAAAGGAAGUAGGAAGAAAGAGACUCAAAGUUGAAAGCUUGAAUGGCGUGCCUUCUUGUGUCCAUGACCCUCUCCGUACCUCUCUCAGCCUCACAUUGCUUCACAAAGGUAAGUUCACAUUUACCAAACUUGUGGUCAACAAAAAAAGCCCCUAGCUUUUAUCCUUGAGCUACUGAAACGAUCUUAGAAAACUUGGGAUUUGAAAGCAGGAGUGGGAAUAUGCUUCAGGAACAGUUGGCAACUUGGCAUUGGCUGCUUUGCGUAGUGCAGAUCAGGUGCACAAAGUUGUUGACUUUGAGAGAUACCUGAGGGGCACUCUCUCGUCAGAGUUCUAAACAUACCAUUUCAGAGCUAGUUUCCUUAUGCAAUAGAUUCUUGGGUAUAAAUUCCUUGCAAUCUACAUACAAUUGUGAUGCAAACUUCAUUGACUCUG